rnacentral:lncRNA from 1 species
CGCGCGUGUAUUUAACCCUCCCUACAAUGAAGCACGAGCUACUAAUCAUGCACAGACGUGCACCAACGUGCUUUUUAGCCCAUUUUUCUUGGCGGACUAAAGCUGCAUUCCGCCCCACCCCUUACAAACAACAUCAUCACUGUACCUAAAUCAGGAAGCACCGACACGUUUUCUUUUCUGUACGGAGACACUUUGGUGAUUACAGCAACGGUGAACCAUAAAGGGGAAAAGGCGUUAUUGUUGUUGAUGUUGUUGACGUGUUGACGUCCACCGUCGACUACUGUCGAAAGAAGACUGACAGUUGGUUACAUCCAGUACAAGGCUCAGCUGUGGAUGCAUUUGACACAGACUAACCGGAGAAGGUCUCUGUCAGCAGCAUGGGCCAGCAUCUAGGAAAGAGGGAGUCUCCCACAGUCAGCAAGGCUCCAUCACCUGAACCUGUAGCAGAGCAGACAGCAGCAGCAGUAGCAGCAGAACCCGAACCACAUGAUGAAGUCUUUGGUAAGGGGCAAAAAUCUUGAAUUUCAAUUGAUAUGUAUAUUGACAUCACACUAAACUCCCAGUGUUGGUCAGACUUUCCUAUUAAAAACCAACGGACACACAACAAUUGAUAUACAUGUUCUUAUCCUUUUGGCUGCUGAAUUUAGUGUAUAAAAGAGUUAGUAUUGAGC